GAUGAAGAACGCAGCGAAAUGCGAUACUUGGUGUGAAUUGCAGAAUCCCGUGAACCAUCGAGUCUUUGAACGCAAGUUGCGCCCGAAGCCAUUAGGCCGAGGGCACGCCUGCCUGGGCGUCACACGUCGUUGCCCCCCCCAUCUACUCCUUCGGGAUUGCGGGGGGCGGAUGAUGGCCUCCCGUGCGCCUCGCCGCGCGGUUGGCACAAAUGCCAAGUCCUCGGCGAUGCACGCCACGACAAUCGGUGGUUGCGAAACCUCGGUUGCCCGUCGUGUGCGGUCGUCGCGCAUCGAGGGCUCGAAAAAAUUGCCGGGUUCCGGCUCGGCUUUCAACGCGACCCCAGGUCAGGCGGGGUUACCCGCUGAAUUUAAGCAUAUCAAUAAGCGGAGGA
rnacentral:misc_RNA from 1 species